AGCGGCGGACGGGUGAGUAAUACGUGGGUAACCUGCCUGUAAGACUGGGAUAACUCCGGGAAACCGGAGCUAAUACCGGAUAGUUCCUUGAACCGCAUGGUUCAAGGAUGAAAGACGGUUUCGGCUGUCACUUACAGAUGGACCCGCGGCGCAUUAGCUAGUUGGUGGGGUAAUGGCUCACCAAGGCGACGAUGCGUAGCCGACCUGAGAGGGUGAUCGGCCACACUGGGACUGAGACACGGCCCAGACUCCUACGGGAGGCAGCAGUAGGGAAUCUUCCGCAAUGGACGAAAGUCUGACGGAGCAACGCCGCGUGAGUGAUGAAGGUUUUCGGAUCGUAAAGCUCUGUUGUUAGGGAAGAACAAGUGCGAGAGUAACUGCUCGCACCUUGACGGUACCUAACCAGAAAGCCACGGCUAACUACGUGCCAGCAGCCGCGGUAAUACGUAGGUGGCAAGCGUUGUCCGGAAUUAUUGGGCGUAAAGGGCUCGCAGGCGGUUUCUUAAGUCUGAUGUGAAAGCCCCCGGCUCAACCGGGGAGGGUCAUUGGAAACUGGGAAACUUGAGUGCAGAAGAGGAGAGUGGAAUUCCACGUGUAGCGGUGAAAUGCGUAGAGAUGUGGAGGAACACCAGUGGCGAAGGCGACUCUCUGGUCUGUAACUGACGCUGAGGAGCGAAAGCGUGGGGAGCGAACAGGAUUAGAUACCCUGGUAGUCCACGCCGUAAACGAUGAGUGCUAAGUGUUAGGGGGUUUCCGCCCCUUAGUGCUGCAGCUAACGCAUUAAGCACUCCGCCUGGGGAGUACGGUCGCAAGACUGAAACUCAAAGGAAUUGACGGGGGCCCGCACAAGCGGUGGAGCAUGUGGUUUAAUUCGAAGCAACGCGAAGAACCUUACCAGGUCUUGACAUCCUCUGACAACCCUAGAGAUAGGGCUUUCCCUUCGGGGACAGAGUGACAGGUGGUGCAUGGUUGUCGUCAGCUCGUGUCGUGAGAUGUUGGGUUAAGUCCCGCAACGAGCGCAACCCUUGAUUUUAGUUGCCAGCAUUCAGUUGGGCACUCUAAGGUGACUGCCGGUGACAAACCGGAGGAAGGUGGGGAUGACGUCAAAUCAUCAUGCCCCUUAUGACCUGGGCUACACACGUGCUACAAUGGACAGAACAAAGGGCUGCAAGACCGCAAGGUUUAGCCAAUCCCAUAAAUCUGUUCUCAGUUCGGAUCGCAGUCUGCAACUCGACUGCGUGAAG
rnacentral:rRNA from 1 species